UGAGUAACACGUGGGCAAUCUGCCCUGCACUUCGGGAUAAGCCUGGGAAACUGGGUCUAAUACCGGAUAGGACCUUUAGNCGCAUGNCUUUUGGUGGAAAGCUUUUGCGGUGUGGGAUGGGCCCGCGGCCUAUCAGCUUGUUGGUGGGGUGAUGGCCUACCAAGGCGACGACGGGUAGCCGGCCUGAGAGGGUGUCCGGCCACACUGGGACUGAGAUACGGCCCAGACUCCUACGGGAGGCAGCAGUGGGGAAUAUUGCACAAUGGGCGCAAGCCUGAUGCAGCGACGCCGCGUGGGGGAUGACGGCCUUCGGGUUGUAAACCUCUUUCACCAUCGACGAAGGUCCGGGUUUUCUCGGAUUGACGGUAGGUGGAGAAGAAGCACCGGCCAACUACGUGCCAGCAGCCGCGGUAAUACGUAGGGUGCGAGCGUUGUCCGGAAUUACUGGGCGUAAAGAGCUCGUAGGUGGUUUGUCGCGUUGUUCGUGAAAUCUCACGGCUUAACUGUGAGCGUGCGGGCGAUACGGGCAGACUAGAGUACUGCAGGGGAGACUGGAAUUCCUGGUGUAGCGGUGGAAUGCGCAGAUAUCAGGAGGAACACCGGUGGCGAAGGCGGGUCUCUGGGCAGUAACUGACGCUGAGGAGCGAAAGCGUGGGGAGCGAACAGGAUUAGAUACCCUGGUAGUCCACGCCGUAAACGGUGGGUACUAGGUGUGGGUUUCCUUCCUUGGGAUCCGUGCCGUAGCUAACGCAUUAAGUACCCCCGCCUGGGGGAGUACGGGCCGCAAGGCUAAAAACUCAAAAGGAAUUUGACGGGGGGCCCGCACAA
rnacentral:rRNA from 1 species